UCCCUCCCACCACUGAGUAAGGUACUCAGUUUUAAUUUUUAGGGAUUUAAGAUUUAGUGUUUUCUAGAUUUUGGGGUCUUGAUCUAAUAAUUUCUAGUUGUCUGAUAACGGAAUCAACUGCUUAGUCUUAUAAUUUUGAAGCUUUGCUUUGAUAUUUUGAUUAAAUUGAAAUUUGAAUUAUGAGAAUAUUAGAAACUUACAUAUCUAUGUAAUGAAGAAAAAGAAAAUUAGAAACUUACAUGAAUUGAUCAAAAUAAUUACACCAACAAAAUAUCCAUUCAGUCAAAAUUUUGCACCAUUACAGAAUUGAUCUAAAUUCUAAUAACUAGCAGCAAACAAAACUUUAAUUUUAACUCAAAAUCGAAACCAUAAUAAAAUAGGAAAGUUAGCUAAAAAUUUCGCACCAUUACAAAAUUGAUUACAUUUUUUAUUCAGAAUAGAUUACAUUUUUUUUUUCCUUUUCAAAACAGGUUAUUUUCACAUAUCCUUUGUAAUCCAAACACAACACUAGCUCAAUUCAAUUUCAGAUCAAAACGACCCUGACUGUACUAUUAUUAUCAAAAUCCACAACCAUAUCAAUCACAAAAUGGAAGCUUGAAUGAGAUAAAAAAAUAUUUAAAAACUUAUCACUUUUAUCUUAUUGAAUAUGGCUUCCAGGGAGAAAAAAGGGAAAAAUUGAUGGCGAAAUCUCUUUUCUACAUGAACAACAAAAACCCAGCACAAUGACACCAAAUACAAUCUAAUCCAAUUCAAUCAAACCAAUCUCAAUUCUCAUAUUCGACUUUAAUCUCAAUUCAAUCUCAUAAUUCCAAAUACAAUCUGCUUUGCUCAAUUCAGUUUCAAAACAAACGACCCGGACUGUACUAUUAUUAUCAAAAUCCACAAGCAUAUCAAUAAGAAAUGGAAGCUUGAAUGAGAGAAAAAAAAUAUGUAAAAACUGACCACCUUUAUCUUAUUGAAUAUGGCUUACAAGGAAAAAAGGGAAAAACUGAUGGCGAAAUCUUUUAUCAACAUGAACAACAAAAACCCAGCACAAUGACACCAAAUACAAUCUAAUCUCAAUUCAAUCAAACCAAACUCAAUUCUCAUAUUCCAAUCUAAUCUCAUUUUAAUCUCAUAAUUCCAAACACAAUAUGCUUAUAAGAAUGACCCCAACACUUGCCCACCGAUCACCAACACCCCAAAUCUAAAUAUUCUCAUAAUUCUAAUUCCAAUUCAAUCAAAUACCAAAGCAAAGCUUCAAAAUUAUAAGACUAAGCAGUCGAUUCCAUCAUCAGACAACUAGGAAUUAUUAGGUCAAGACCCCAAAAUCCCAAAAUCUAGAAAACACUAAAUCUUAAAUCCUUCGCCCAUGAGCGGUAGGUCUUGGGUUCGAGACUUGGGAGCAGCCUCUCCAUAAAUGGGGGUAAGGCUAGCCGACAUUCACCUCUCCCAGACCCUGCGUAAAGCGGGAGCUUAUGCACUGGGUACGACCUUACUUAGUGGUGGGAGGGAUCGAGCUAUCGACUUCAGUUGAGAGGAGAUGAUGGUUGGUGGUGGUCAGAGUCAGGAGAGAGAAGAGAUGUGGGGAGUUGAGACUUGAGAGGAGAUGGUGGUGGUGCCUGGUAGUCGAAGACUCGGAAUCCAGAGAGUAUGGGGGAUGGAGUUAAGACUCGGAGUCCAACGGGUAAAAUAAUUAAAAGAAAUUAUUUCAAUGUGUUUCAUAUUCUUUUAUAUAGUGUUCAAAUUUAAAUUCAACGACUAAGAUGAUUAAAUCCAACAGUUAAAAACAAAAUUGACGGUCCAAAUUUAAAUUCAACGGCUAAUAUAAUUCAAAUUCAGAAUCACCGGCUCUCUCUUUCUCUCUCGACUCCUUUCUGACUGUCAAGUCUCUGUCUCCUCUCGAAUUCUGUCUUUCACCUCCAACGGCUGCACUGCACAUGGUAUUGCACUUGUCAGAUGCCGUAUAACCCAGAUAAUCUCAUGGUGUGGUGUGAGGCAUGCAAGGAGUGGUAACAUGCUGAGUGCGAGGGAAUGACUAGUUAUGAAGUAGAAAGGAUCAAGCCCUAGCAAUAUAUUUGCAUAAAAUGUUCAUCUGCAUGACUUGGAACUCUUUUAGAUUUUUUUUUAAAACUAAAUUGUAUUUGCAAUUACAAAGAGGUAUUUUAGUUGCUAUUUACUUUUGGAUGUGUAGAACUAAAGAAAGAUAAACUUGAAUCUCAAUUUUCAUGGA